CAUUUGCACUCAACAAAUUACACAGCUUAUGUGACAUUCUCCAGCCCGUCAUGCCCUCAAAAAGCCAUAUGUUCCAGGUUAUCUUUAUAAGAGUUCAUGUUUGGAGACUGAAAGAGAAAUUGUCUGACAUACCACCUGAGGGGAUAAUGUGAAGAAACUGCAGUGGAUGAAACAGUCACUCUGGCAAUUAUGAGAUGUGAGAACAAUACGCAGCUCUGUAUUUGAGAGCGGACUGGUUUUGAUACAGUGACUGCACCAGAUAGACUGGAAGAGGCAGAAGGAAAAGACAAUCUAUUUGCAGAAGCUGAGG